rnacentral:rRNA from 1 species
AUUGAACGCUGGCGGCAGGCCUAACACAUGCAAGUCGAACGGUAACAGGAAACAGCUUGCUGUUUCGCUGACGAGUGGCGGACGGGUGAGUAAUGUCUGGGAAACUGCCUGAUGGAGGGGGAUAACUACUGGAAACGGUAGCUAAUGCCGCAUAACGUCGCAAGACCAAAGAGGGGGACCUUCGGGCCUCUUGCCAUCGGAUGUGCCCAGAUGGGAUUAGCUAGUAGGUGGGGUAACGGCUCACCUAGGCGACGAUCCCUAGCUGGUCUGAGAGGAUGACCAGCCACACUGGAACUGAGACACGGUCCAGACUCCUACGGGAGGCAGCAGUGGGGAAUAUUGCACAAUGGGCGCAAGCCUGAUGCAGCCAUGCCGCGUGUAUGAAGAAGGCCUUCGGGUUGUAAAGUACUUUCAGCGGGGAGGAAGGGAGUAAAGUUAAUACCUUUACUCAUUGACGUUACCCGCAGAAGAAGCACCGGCUAACUCCGUG